GGAUUGUGGCUCAGUGGUAGAGCUCUUGUCUAGCAUGUACGAGGCCCUGGGGUUCGAUCCUCAGCACCA
rnacentral:tRNA from 1 species